ensembl:snRNA U1 U1 spliceosomal RNA
AUACUUACUUGGUAGGGGAGAUACCGUGAUCACAAACUUGGUUUUCCCAGGGAGGGCCUCAAGCAUUGCACUCUGGGUGUGCCCACUCCUGUGAUUUCCCCAAAUGUGUGAAACUUGACUGCAUAAUUUGUGAUGGUUGGUGACUGCACUCACAGC